rnacentral:rRNA from 1 species
GCUCAGGACGAACGCUGGCGGCGCGCCUAACACAUGCAAGUCGAACGAGCGAGAGAGAGCUUGCUUUCUUGAGCGAGUGGCGAACGGGUGAGUAACGCGUGAGGAACCUGCCUCAAAGAGGGGGACAACAGUUGGAAACGACUGCUAAUACCGCAUAAGCCCACAGGUCGGCAUCGACCAGAGGGAAAAGGAGCAAUCCGCUUUGAGAUGGCCUCGCGUCCGAUUAGCUAGUUGGUGAGGUAAUGGCCCACCAAGGCAACGAUCGGUAGCCGGACUGAGAGGUUGAACGGCCACAUUGGGACUGAGACACGGCCCAGACUCCUACGGGAGGCAGCAGU